rnacentral:rRNA from 1 species
AGGACGAACGCUGGCGGCGUGCUUAACACAUGCAAGUCGAGCGGAAAGGCCUUUCGGGGUACUCGAGCGGCGAACGGGGUGAGUAACACGUGAGUAAUCUGCCCAUCGCUUCAGGAUAGCCAUCGGAAACGGUGAUUAAUACUGGAUAUGACAUUCCUUCGCAUGUUGGGGUGUGGAAAGUUUUUUCGGCGGUGAGUGUGCUCGCGGUCCUAGUCAGCUUGUUGGGUGGGGUAAUGGCCUACCAAGGCGUUUGACGGGUAGCCGGCCUGGAGAGGGUGACCGGCCACGAC